UACGUAGGGUGCGAGCGUUAAUCGGAAUUACUGGGCGUAAAGCGUGCGCAGGCGGUUUUGUAAGCCAGAUGUGAAAUCCCCGGGCUCAACCUGGGAAUGGCAUUUGGGACUGCAAGGCUUGAGUGCGGCAGAGGAGACUGGAAUUCCCGGUGUAGCAGUGAAAUGCGUAGAUAUCAGGAGGAAUACCGAUGGCGAAGGCAGGUCUCUGGGCUGACACUGACGCUCAUGCACGAAAGCGUGGGGAGCAAACAGG
rnacentral:rRNA from 1 species